rnacentral:lncRNA from 1 species
UGGCAGGGUGGGAUCCCUCCACCCACGUCUGGGCCGGAAGCGUGGGCACACCCACUCCAGGAAUCCUAGGGCGGGGUCAGGCUCCCAGGAAAUGGGGCCAGAGGUUCCCUUGCAGGCACUGGCGCAACCCGGCUGCCUUCCCGGUCCCCACCUCCUGUGGAUUCCUUCUGGGGUUUUGCCGGAAUGGCUGGCCCAGCCCACACCCUGAAUCCAGCCCUCAUUGAAGCUCGGAAACCCAGAGACUCAUACCAGCCGAUGCCAGGACCCUUCUCCAGGACCACCCGAAACUGCCACUCACCCGGUGCCACCCUGGCAUCUGGAUAAGGAAAUGAGGCCGGAGAGGUGAAAUGACUUGCCCUUGAUCAACACGGCCUGGAAACAAAGACGACCCCAUCUGAACCGAGACCUUGGGUCCCAGAGCCGGUGCUUUUCUGAAAGCAGGAGCCCCGGUACACAGCGGGCACCUGUGAACAGCAGCAGAGAGUGCUGUUGCUACUAUUACCACCAUCGCCAUGCCCACCGCUGCUUAGAGGCUCUGCGGCCCAGAGGCUGGGGCCUUUUCACUUUGCCUCAUCUUUCAGAGCGCCCAGACCAGGGCCAUAUUCCUCUUGCUAAGGAGGCGGGAGUCAAUAGGCUAAAAGACCAGAACUGGAAGGGAUGAUGUCGUUAAAACCACCAGACAGCAGAGCUGGCUCCCAAGCGGCUCUGGCAAAUUUCAUCAACUUUUUACUUUUCUUAUGAUUUGCUAACAUCUCCACCAACAGGUACAUCCCUUAAAAUAAACAAGCCACAACAAAGCACUUCUACGAACAAAUGGAUGUGGCGGCUGGAGCUCGCAGGAGGCAACACAGGGGGCGCGCCCUUCCCUCCUCCCGGCCACUGCCACUGAGGCAGGAACGUGGGAACGUGGUCUCAGCCGGUGAGAAACUGCAGAGCCUGAAUCCAGAAUUUAGAAACACAGAGGCAAACACUUACACGUAUGGGAAAAGAAAAAAGCCUCCACUGAUGGCCUCAUAAUAUGAGCAUAUUUGCAAAAUAAACAGUUAUCAUCAUUUGCAAAUUAUUGUGGCUGUAAAAACUGCUCUGCCCUCAAGGAGGCUGAUACAAACCAAUAAAUUCUGCACUUUGUUAUCUUGCCCCAGACCCUCCAGUAUCGACUGCUGGCUCAUCUACGAACAAAAGCAGCCGCCGAGAGUCCUCGUGUGAGCUUAGCUCCGUUUACAGAUUUGGUGCUGUCUGCCGAGGCCGGCCGCUCAGACCGAGGCCCGCGCACGCAGGGCCCACGCGCCUCCGAACUGGGAAAACAAAGAUGGAUUUCCAUGGGAGUUUUCCUCUCAGUGCCGUUUAGAACUUUCCGGGUCUGAUUCUUCCAUUUUCUAUAUAUCAAGACCCUGGCUCCCCUCAAGGGUGGGGAACCAGGCCGCAUCCGAGGACGCUUUUGUCAGCCUGCCACAGCGUGGAGGUGGACAUGGGGCUGUGCUCUGCAAAGCCCACCUCUGAAUCAAAAGGAUCAGCACUUUUGGAGGGGCAGGGACCAACAGGGACACCCGGGCAGCCACUGAGCCCAGCUCCUGGACAGAGGUGGCAAGGCGGGGGGACUCAAAGGUCUUUGAGGGACUCCCGGCCCUGCCAGCCACGUUUCAGGCCCUGGACGACCUGGGUGUCUCCCCCAACAGCUCUGCAGGUGAGGAACUGGGGUGGGAUCCAGGACACGGGCAGGCCAUGAGGGCACUCAGGGCUUCCCCAAGGGUCUGUGUAGUGAACGGUGCCCACGCGCACGCCACACACAGUCUGCGGUCAGGGCGGUGACAAGACAGGCCCAGCACUUUCAGGCGGAACCCCCAAGUUGAAAUAAGUGCUCAAAAACAAAGCCCAAAACAACCGAAAAUAUUUUUCCCCACACUGAGCUGAGGGCCAAAAGGAGCUUUCUUUCUUUUUCCUUUUUCUUUUUCUUUUUUUUCCAAAAAAUAAAACGAAAGGGAGAAAGAACUAGAUCCCUAAACUGUGGACAUGGUAGCAUUAAAGAUGCCGGACAAAAUAAAAGGGCCUCUGUUUCUAGAUGCAAAGUCCUCCCUCCCGGGUGCCAGCCUGGCCCUGCCUGCCGAUGAGUUUGCUGGGAGGAGCCGUGGAUGGUCCUGGUGGUUUUCCUUUUGCCACUCCUGGCGCCGCCAAAAAUUAAGACAAUAAUAAUAAUAAUAAUAAUAAUAAUAAUAAUAAUAAUAAUAAUGAGACCCCCACACAAACUGCCACAACCAGGAAGGCAGGAGUAGGCCAUGGCUAUUAAUACUCCCAAAGCAUUUGUUCCCAUUAAAAUGGAAGACGCAGCUACUGUGAAAUAAUAAACAUUCAUUUUUAUUGUGAUUUCUAAAGCCUGUAGCUUUGGAUCUUGAAAGUAAAUGGGCUUGGCUUCUGCAUUUUCCCUGCAGUUUUUGGCAGGGCUUCCUGCACGGAAGAUGGAGGGCUCUGAAAUAGAAUUCUGAGUUUGGAGAACCAAUUAGAGGGAGGACACGUAACAGGCACCGGGGCACAAGAUGGCAGCACCCUCGGCUCGUCUUCACGACAGAAGGAAAGAAGGUGACUUACCCGAGGUGCCGGAGGAUGGAGGCGUCUUCUCCAAAGCCAGGAAGUGAAAAUGACGUCCCUGGGCCCAGC